rnacentral:ncRNA from 1 species
ACGCCCCGCGUGGCGUCCACGGGCCGCAACAGGCCCAUGUGGCGGGGGUGGUGCCGUGUCGGCGCAGCACCACCCCCGGCCG